UUCUGGGAGAAGUAAAGGAAAACAAUGCUGGCUGGCAUUCAGACAUUAAACUCAAUGUGGAGGUUGUGUCAUUUAAACUAGACACGGGCAGCAGUGACAGCUAUCCCAACUAGGCUGUAUAGCUAUAGCUGGCCCUUUGCUCUCUACAAACAAAUAACUGUAAGGGCCCAGUAAUAAGAUUUUACCAGUGGUAGGACACUUGGUGAUUAAACUGGAGAGUAAAGACAAAAGUGCCAUCCAGCCUGUCUUUGUCAUUGACUCUCUAGCCAGACCGUUGCUGGGGCUGCCAGCAAUUGAAGCAUUGCAACUCAUUGAGAGUGUGAGUGAAUUAGAGGACCCAGGUGAGGUUUUUAAAAAGAAAUUCCCAAAAGUGUUUUCUGGUCUAGGAAGGAUAGAAGGUGACUACAAAAUCCGCCUGAAAGAGGAUUCUGUCCCCUAUGCCCUUACCACCCCCCGCCGGGUGCCUAUCCCUUUAUUGGCCAGAGUAAAGGAAGAGUUGGGGAGGAUGGAAGAAAUUGGGGCGGUGUCUAAAAUAGAGAGUCCCACAGACUGGUGUGCAGGGAUGGUAGUGGUCCCAAAAGCCAAUGGGGAAAUAAGGAUCUGUGUGGACAUGACUAAAUUGAAUGAGGCACUCUGCAGAGAGAGACAUCUUACCAUCAGUGGAGCAGUCACUGGCUCAGUUGGAUGGCUCACAAGUCUUCACAAAGCUGGAUGCCCGCUCAGGUUUCUGGCAGAUACCGCUGUCAUCAGAGAGCAGGGCACUCACAACAUUUAUAACACCGUUUGGCCAUUACUGUUUUAAUGUUUUGCCAUUUGGAAUCGCUUCCGGCCCUGAGCAUUUCCAAAGACGCAUGUCCCAGCUGUUGGAUGGGCUGAGUGGCUUCAUAGUCCACGCGGAAGGGACAGAGCAGAACAUGAUGUAAGGCUCACAGCAGUUCUGAACCAACUCCAGGAGACUGGCCUGACACUCAAUGAAAAAUAAACUUUUGCACAAUCAGAGGUCUUGUUCUUGGGACACAAAAUCAGUGCAGCUGGAAUAGAGCCGGACCCAGAGAAGAUCAGCGCCAUCACAGAUAUGCCCAGACCCCAGAAUGUGGCUGAAGUCAGGACCUUCUUAGGCAUGGCCACAUAUGUGGGUAAGUUCCUCCCACAGUUCUCAGGUACAACCAAACCUCUGAGAGACUUACUAGCCAAAGAGAAUGACUGGUUAUGGAGUCACAUGCAACAGGUAGCGUUUGACAAAAUCAAAGGAGAUCUGGCCUCACAGAGAGUGCUGGCCCAGUACCGUCCCCACGCUAAGACAAAUGUAUCAGCAGAUGCAUCAUCCUUUGGGCUAGGGGCGGUCCUCACACAGAUGCAGGACAACAUGGAGUGGCGUCCAAUAGCUUACAUCUCCCGAAGCUUAUCCGACACAGAGCAAAGAUAUGCUCAAGUGGAGAAGGAGGCGUUGGCUAUCACAUGGGCAUGUGAAAGGCUCAGCCAAUACCUUAUUGGCCUGCAGUUUACAGCAGAGACUGACCAUAAACCGCUGUUGGCUCUGUUAGGGACAAAAGCACUGGACGACUUGCCUCCCAGAGUUCUGCGCUUCCGCCUCAGAUUGCUUAGAUUACAAAAUUGUGUAUGUGCAAGGGAAGGCACUGAUCACAGCAGAUGAACUCUCCAGGGCCCCAAUUAAACGUCCAUUAUCAGAGGAGGAGCAAUGGCUAGAGGGUGAGGUACAGGUGUCCAUUAAUGCAAUAAGGGACAGUCUACCUGCAUCUCAGACCAAACUGCAGCAGAUUGCAGAGGAGCAACAACGACACCAUAUCUGCCAACAGAUAGUGCAAAAAGGGAUGGCCCAGGCAGGAGGAACUGCCUCAGCUGCUGAAGCCCCAUUGGGUGCACCAAAGUGACUUCCACUCUAAUGGAGACCUUCUCAUGAAAGGACAACGGAUAGUUAUCCCAGAGACUCUACAACAAGAAAUGCUAGACAGAGUGCAUGAUGGACACAUGGGGAUAACCAAAUGCAGACUGAGGGCUCAACAGUCAGUGUGGUGGCUUGGUCUGAGUACUCAGAUUGCCAAGCUAGUGGCCCAGUGUGAGGCCUGUACAAAAUGUCAACCUUGUCAUCCGGAGCCAAUGAUGGCAACGGAGCUGCCAAAACGGCCAUUGCAAAAGGCAAGGGGUCGCUGAGGUCCUGGUUACAGAUAACGCUCUCCAGUUCUCUGUGAGCUCCUUUUCUGCUUUUGCCGCAGAAUAUGACUUCAUACAUGUGACCAGUAGCCCCUACCAUGCACAGAGUAAUGGUGAGGCAGAGAGAGCUGUGAAAACAGUCAAGGGACUGCUGAAAAAGAACAAGGAUCCAUACAGGGCUCUGUUAGCUUACAGAGUUACACCACUGUAUCAUGGGCCGUUGCCUGCCGAGCUCCUGAUGGGCAGGAGGCUGCGUUCCCCAUUGCCUGUCUCGUCGGCUCAGCUUAAACACCGAGGGCCUAACAGGAAGGCCUUCGCUGAGAGGGACAAACGGCUGAAACAAACGCAAACUGGAGACUUUAAUCGGAGACACCGUGCUAAGGAGAGGCCAGAGUUGACCAAAGGUCAACGUGUGCGGAUUACAAACUCAAAGACACCAACAAUAGUGCUGAGGAAAGCGGAUGCCCCAUGCUUCUAUGUGGUGGACAUAGGCUCAGAAGAGGUACGAAGGAACAAAACACACCUCAGAGCUCUUCCAGAUCUACCAGCCACACAGACUGAGGCCACGAAAAGAGGGUGAAGGAGAGAGAAUGCUCACAGAGCCACAAGCGCACCCAAAAAGGAAGACUAUGCUACGUGAAGAGAAAACAUACUGUUGGACACCAUACCCAGCAAAAAAGAGACUACCUAAGUUAAUGUUCAUACUGUGUGAUUUAAUGCUUUCAUACUGUUUCAGGAUGGGAAGUAGCAUGUUAGAGAAUUAUACUGGUUUCCAAAUUACAUUCCAGUUAUGCUUCAGUGGUUAUGCAUGUUGAGUUCUUGUUCAUGGGAGAGGGGAAGAUGUAGUAGGAUGUCCCUUGGGGGUAUCCGUACCUAUGCAGGACAUGCGAGGGUUAGGUUAAUAAACAGGCAGGAGCUAGAACCUGGUUGUCGCGCGUCCUUAUUUUAGAUCAUACUACAGCUCUAUUGUGAAUGUAGUAUAGGCUACCCAUAUUCAGUCUGGUUGACACGCGACCCACAUGACUACACAGCAAGCAUAGACAGGCCUACAUGAGUAAUGCCGCGAUCACAGCGACAGUGCUUUGCAUUUUGGUACACUAGAAGUACGUUUAUUUCUAAUGGAAUGCUGUGUUUGCCUUGCAACGUUGCAUUGGAGAGGCAGUUUCAGUGCCUUCUGUGUGAUGCAUUGUGACGGCCCUCCCACUCUGUCUGCCGUAUUCUGUCUUUGUUCUUGAUGCCGGUGGGCGGAGUUGGGAGGGUCGUCAGCUACAUGGGAAACACCUGGGCCCGGUGUGUCCCAGGAUAAAUACACCACUUCCCCAUUCAUGGAAGAGACUCUCUCCUUUAUAGAUUGUGUUGUGUUUCUUGGUGUUUUUUUGGUUGUUUGCUUUAGCAUCUUUCAACACCCUGCAUUAUCACAUUCAUGCAUGCAAAACACUCACUUACACUACUGAUUACUGAUUAGACACACCAUUGUGUAUUAUACUUAGUUAUUAUUUAAUAAAUAUAUAUUUUGUUACUCCUUA